UGCUGAAAACCCCGACUUCGGAAGGGGUGUAUUUAUUAGAUAAAAAACCAAUGCCCUUCGGGGCUCCUUGGUGAUUCAUAAUAACUUCUCAGAUCGCAUGGCCUUGCGCCGGCGACGGUUCAUUCAAAUUUCUGCCCUAUCAACUUUCGAUGGUAAGGUAUUGGCUUACCAUGGUUUCAACGGGUAACGGGGAAUUAGGGUUCGAUUCCGGAGAGGGAGCCUGAGAAACGGCUACCACAUCCAAGGAAGGCAGCAGGCGCGCAAAUUACCCAAUCCCGACACGGGGAGGUAGUGACAAUAAAUACUGAUACAGGGCUCUUUUGGGUCUUGUAAUUGGAAUGAGUACAAUUUAAACCUCUUAACGAGGAACAAUUGGAGGGCAAGUCUGGUGCCAGCAGCCGCGGUAAUUCCAGCUCCAAUAGCGUAUAUUAAAGUUGUUGCAGUUAAAAAGCUCGUAGUUGAACCUUUGGCCUGGCUGGCAGGUCCGCCUCACCGCGUGCACUUGUCCGGCCGGGCCUUCUCUUCUGGAGAACCGCAUGCCCUUCACUGGGUGUGUUGGGGACCAGGACUUUUACUUUGAAAAAAUUAGAGUGUUCAAAGCAGGCCUUUGCUCGAAUACGUUAGCAUGGAAUAAUAGAAUAGGACGUGCGGUCCUAUUUUGUUGGUUUCUAGGACCGCCGUAAUGAUUAAUAGGGACAGUCGGGGGCAUCAGUAUUCAAUUGUCAGAGGUGAAAUUCUUGGAUUUAUUGAAGACUAACUACUGCGAAAGCAUUUGCCAAGGAUGUUUUCAUUAAUCAGUGAACGAAAGUUAGGGGAUCGAAGACGAUCAGAUACCGUCGUAGUCUUAACCAUAAACUAUGCCGACUAGGGAUCGGGCGGUGUUAUUAUUUUGACUCGCUCGGCACCUUACGAGAAAUCAAAGUGUUUGGGUUCUGGGGGG
rnacentral:rRNA from 1 species